GUACAAGUGCAUAGCUACUUCAGGCACAGCAAGUUCAUGCGGUGGGAGAGGCAUGUGCUUUCUUCCCCUGUGAUAGGCCGGAUUGGGAGUAGUACUGGAAAUUAUGUCUCCUUCUCUCUCUCUUUGACGUGCAGGAUACUCAGGGAAAUUAGACACCCACACACUAAGUGGAAACUUGCAAUAAACUGAUCAUCUUUAACAAGUGGAGAACUUGGUUUGGACUGAAAGAUGCAAGUUUAACUAGAUGGCAUUUCUCUUCUUAUCUGAGCUAUUACAUGGAGGGGAACAGAAAAACUCAGCUGGCACAUCUGGCCUACGUACAAUACUACCAACCUUCAAAGAGACCAGUGUUUGAAUACAGACCAUGCAUGUCAAAUCCAGUGUGUAGGCCCAACACAUGCAGCUGAUUUUAUUUGGUUGCUCAUAGUGCAGGUGUGAUCUCCUUUCCCCUCUGCAGUUCAGGUAAGCCCCAGUUCUCCUCUUUGCCGUGUUUUUCUCUGGUCAGCUCUCGGGUUCUGAGCUCACUCCCUCUUGCUCCCGUUGCAGUCGGUCCUUGCCAAGCCCUUUAUCUUGCUUAUCCUUUGAUGUGUGCCUCCUGUAGAAAAAUCUCCUUUUUAAUGCUUGCACAGACUGCUCUGCUUCCGUACAUUAAGGACCUUUAUGCAUUGCUCUUGUUCCUGGGGAGGGUGACUUCAGUGCGCCUGACGGACUAUUUUAAUGAGUCAAGUGAAACGAGAAAAAUCCUAAACCAAUCAAUUGACAUCGGAAGCAGGAACCUGAGGAAGAGAGCCACUCUCCGCAUCCUUUCCAUGGGAGAAGGUGGAUGCAGGCACACCAUUCCCCAGCGGAACAUAGAGAUGCACUCUGAAUAUCUUAUAUUCUUUAGGGAUCUGCAUUUAGAAAUUCAAAAGGAAAGCAUACAGAACAACUUCCGUUCAUAUUUAUUUUGUGGUGUAGUAAAUCUGAAGUCGACUGAAUCCAUGCUAAUGAUUCUCGCAUGGAAAUUCCCGUCCUUUUGACAUUUGCUUUCAGAUGCCUUCUUUCAGAUUUAUAUUUCUUGCAGAUGCUCAGUGCAUUUCUGUGCAGAUACUGAAUGGGCGUGGUUGACAUGGCAACACAUCACGUAUGAGUGCAGUGUUGCCAAGAAGAAGCUUGGAUCAGCAAGGGAGAGAGCACCGACAGGCGCAUAAUCCCUCCAAACUAAGGGCUUCAGUUCCCUUCGCUCUACAGCACUGUCCCCAAUUCUGACCAGUGCUCUGUCCUCCCACCUCUACCCCCGCACCUCGUACCACUGAGCUGCACCAAAUUUGAGAGCAAAAGAACAAGAAAGCAGAGGCAUCCAGGAUGGACAGAUGCAGUGCUUUUUUUGUAAGAAAAAAGGUGCCGGAA